rnacentral:rRNA from 1 species
GACGUAGGAUCCGAGCGUUGUCCGGAAUUACUGGGUGUAAAGGGCGUGUAGGUGGGUUCCUAAGUCGGAGGUGAAAUCCCGCAGCUUAACUGCGGAAUUGCCUUCGAUACUGGGGAUCUUGAGUGCGGCAGAGGGAGAUGGAAUUCAUGGUGUAGCGGUGAAAUGUGUAGAUAUCAUGAAGAACACCGGUAGCGAAGGCGGUCUCCUGGUCCGUAACUGUCACUGAUGCGCGAAAGCGUGGGGAGCAAACAGG